GUGUGCGGACUGGGCAGACGUCUAGGUGUUCUCGCUCUGGGAGGGGCCUGGUGGUGAUGAGGGGGCGGGGCUCCCAGAGCUGCCCAGGGGGCUGAUGAUGUCCACUGUCCUCUGUGUUAAUGACAGUGACGGACACUGAGAAGAGGGUCACUCAGGGCCACUGAGCAGACCCGGGAACCUGUGCGUGGCUCUUCUCUCACGCCGUCCCCGAGUGGACAUCCAUAGUCUCGGCCCGCCCGGCGGCGUUCUUGCUGGGUUUGGCAGCCUCCUCCCUGGUCUUCCUCUGGAAACGCUGUCUGCCCGAGUGGUUCAGGCGUGGUUGGCAGGCGCCGUCCCGGGAUCCAUGGGAAAGAAGAGCAGGCGUGGUGCUGGAGUCGCUGAGCGGUGGGUGUCUGGGGGCCGCGGUGCCAUCCUCCCUGCCGCCUGGAGGAGCCGACCAGGACCAAGGCAGCAAGGUAGGGCAGAGGUGGGAGGGCCCUGCAGGGAGAGCGUCAUGAGCUGUGCGCUUGGCUCACGGCCGCAGGCCUGCUUUCAGUCCGAACCUGACCCAAGCCUCGGACCCCUCAGCCGCCUCGCCCUGCUGUCGUGAGCCCGUGGCCCCCAGGGGAAUGGAAAGCUCGGGAUAAUCCCCAGAUUACUGAAAGCCGAUACCUCCUGACAGUGAGGUCAAUUCCCUGAGUUGUCCCAGAGGCUUCCUUGUUUUCUCUCUUCUCCCUUAAACACUGGCUCUUGGUCUUAAAGACGCGGGCCUUUGCUCUGUAAUGGGUUUCAGCAGGCGAAUUCUCCAUCCGGACAGACCGUGCUUCCUGCAUUGGGAGAGCUCUCGUCUGGGACGGCUGAGCGCCCGCCUGCGCUGCGGGCACUCCAAGCCCACCCUCCAGGCCUCGGCUUGAGCCUCUGGAAGGGACGUCCGUGGAUCUCCCGCGAACAGCCGAAGCGGUGUAGACUGAGGCUGACACCCUGUGGCCCACCCUCCUGUGAGACCCCCUCACCCGGCCUAUUGCCACGGAGCCAGCGCGUUCUAGACGGGGUGCGAAUGGUGCCGGCACUCUCCGCACCAUGUGACCCGCAUCAGCAGAACCCUGGGUGGACUCGGGGUGCAGGUGCUCACUCACGUGCUGGCCCAGGACGCCAGGCUGGGAGCAUGCUCCCUGGAGAGUCAAGACUGAAAACCGGGAAUGCUGCCUCAAAGGACAGGCACGCUUCACUCUUCAAGAAACUGCCCGUUUUUCAAAGCCGCGGUCGCGUUUUGCGCUCCCACCAGCCACGUGCGAGGGUCCCGUUGCACCUCACCGUCCCCAGGAUGGGGUGCUGCCAACACCUCUGACUUGGGCCAAAGUACGGACAGCUGGGGAUUGCUACCUCUGAGGUGAGGCCCUACAAGACUGUGACUUCCAUCUCGCGUGCUCUCUUCUCGUGAGCUGGCUCUGAUGAAGCAGACUGCCAUGCCUGGACUGUCUGCUGGAGAAGUCUUUUUGGCAAGGAGGUGAGAGAUGAGGCCCCGAGUCUAACAGCCUGAGAGAAAAGCACAGCCAGCAGCCUCUCCAACACCUUGAUUGUAGCCCCGUGAGAGAACCCUAAAAGGAGGGCCCUCCUAAGCUGUGCCCAGGUUC